rnacentral:rRNA from 1 species
CAAGUCGAACGGCAGCACGGGUGCUUGCACCUGGUGGCGAGUGGCGAACGGGUGAGUAAUACAUCGGAACGUACCUUAUCGUGGGGGAUAACGCAGCGAAAGCUGUGCUAAUACCGCAUACGCCCUGAGGGGGAAAGCGGGGGAUCGAAAGACCUCGCGCGAUUAGAGCGGCCGAUGCCUGAUUAGCUUGUUGGUGGGGUAAAAGCCCACCAAGGCGACGAUCAGUAGCUGGUCUGAGAGGACGAUCAGCCACACUGGGACUGAGACACGGCCCAGACUCCUACGGGAGGCAGCAGUGGGGAAUUUUGGACAAUGGGGGAAACCCUGAUCCAGCAAUGCCGCGUGAGUGAAGAAGGCCUUCGGGUUGUAAAGCUCUUUUGUCAGGGAAGAAACACCGGCUCUAACACAGUCCGGGAAUGACGGUACCUGAAGAAUAAGCACCGGCUAACUACGUGCCAGCAGCCGCGGUAAUACGUAGGGUGCGAGCGUUAAUCGGAAUUACUGGGCGUAAAGCGUGCGCAGGCGGUUAUACAAGACAGGCGUGAAAUCCCCGGGCUUAACCUGGGAAUGGCGCCUGUGACUGUAUAGCUAGAGUGUGUCAGAGGGGGGUAGAAUUCCACGUGUAGCAGUGAAAUGCGUAGAUAUGUGGAGGAAUACCAAUGGCGAAGGCAGCCCCCUGGGAUAACACUGACGCUCAUGCACGAAAGCGUGGGGAGCAAACAGGAUUAGAUACCCUGGUAGUCCACGCCCUAAACGAUGCUGACUAGUUGUUCGGGAUUUACAUCCUGAGUAACGUAGCUCACGCGUGAAGUCAGCCGCCUGGGGAGUACGGUCGCAAGAUUAAAACUCAAAGGAAUUGACGG